rnacentral:tRNA from 1 species
GAACGUAUGGCUUAGUUGGUCAGAGCGCAGACGGUUUCCAAGAGGCGAGGGUUCAUAUUCCGCUACGUUCA